AAGUCCAGCUGAUUUCUGAGUACAUAUCAAAGCUAGUAAGAGCAUAAGUGUUAUGCUAAUAAUCAUCAUGUUAGUUGAAUCAUGAUAAUUUUAUUAGUACUGCAAGAUAGCAAUGUUAAUUAUAGAAAAACAAAAGUUUCAAUUCGUGAAGUUGCAGGGGUUGAAAAGUUGUUUUGCUAUAAUUAAGGGAGAGAAAAUUAUACUUCAUCUCAAAUCUAUAAGCUUAGAUCGUGAGAUUUUAAUCAAAUUUAGUCAAGGAUAUAUAUGAAGUUUGUGUUGGAAUGGCUCAACAUAAGGAAAUUUUAUAUNUAUAUAUAUGAACUUCAUGUUGGAAUGACUCAACAUAAGGAAAUUCUAUAUAUGAGUCCAUUAUUUGCGUUCUAAAAUUCGAUUAUG
rnacentral:lncRNA from 1 species